UCUCACCUCACAAGGUCCUGCUGGUCAGCCUCAGACAGCAAGGGUUGAGGAGGGGCUGCCACAAGGGGUGCUCCCUUUCUCCAUUCCAAACUUUGACAGAUGGGCCUCUGCCUCUCCUACCAGAGACACAGAGUGGAGAAGGUGUAGCCUGGCAGCAGCGGCAGGUCUGACAUGGCUGUGCGCCCACUUGACUACUCGGAAUUGGUCACUUGAAACUACUACACCGGGAGCGCCUCUGUGUGUCCUCGCCGCCAGCUUACAGUGAAUGCCAUUAAGGUGCUGGUGACGCUGGCCAGGCAUGGGCGGCGUGGGCAAUCUGGCGACCCACGGCUCCUCCACCACCUCUAACUAUCACAGUGCCCAUUAUUAUUUUUCCUCCACUUGUCAUUACCAUCAUUACUGUUGUUGCUCUCUGUUCUUGUUAUUUUUUUCUAUCAGUUAUGAUCAAUAUUACGUUGCUAUUGGUUACCGUUACGGCGUUCGUGUUGCGUCUGUAACAGGGUUUUCCGAAGUGGGCGGUACCGCAUCUAAGUGGACGUUGGAAGGAUCCAAAGUGGCUGUAAGGAAAAAAAAAAAAAAAAAAAAAAACAGGCGGAAGAGGGCGCCAGUAGGACAUCACAAUUUGGCAUUGAGAAUUUCAAAUUUUGCUAUUAAUGAAUCUAAAGACGUACUAUUAUUAUCAAUGUUCAUACGUCAGCACACAAACGAUCUUAAAACUAUAUCAAUGUGAUUACUGUACCGCUAUAUUUAUGAUUAUUUAACGUCUCGCCUGUGUAUUGGACGUGGAGUGAUCAAGUACAGACUGACUCGAGAACUGAGAAAUAGUAGUUGGAACUGUCACUCACUCCUCCUGUAGCUCACUGCUGGUCAAGGCGUGUUAGUCUUAAGUUACUCAUAGUUGUGUUCGGUUUGUGUUUAUGCGGUUAGGGGACCAAGGGCUCCAGUAGACCAAAGGGAGCGGCAGUCCGAAAAAGUUUGGGAAUCACUGGAACUUUGUAACGUCUGUUAUA